CAGUCCUUUCAGCAAUGAAAGUUCCUUUAUUUGUCCAGCACGAAAGGGCCAAAGAGACAGGUUUAUCCUCCCACCCAACGGUCCUUUUCUGAGACAGUUCAUCAGAAACAUGGAGAACAGAGCUUUGCUCGGGAAGGAAGGUUCAGAAAACAAAUCGUCUGUAAACUAUUGGGCAGGACUUGCCUCUUCCAAAGCUAAAAAUGCAUGAACAUCCAGAGAUGCACAUGUCUGUCAGGAACUAGAAUGCUGAGGAAUGGAAACACAUGGAAACAUUCACCUAUUAUACAAGGAUAACUUUAGCUGUGACCUGGAAUAUAUUGUCUAAGAGCUCUGUAAAGGUGAAGAAAGAUGAUCUUCUUUGGAACUUGGGCUUGUACGUGUUUAUAGAAGCCUAUUUGUGAGUCUGCCUUGGUCAUCAGGCAAAAUGCCUUAUUUCUUUCCUCGUUGUUUACAAAACCAAGGACCCAGGCUGCUGGAUAUUUACACUGUUGUCUGUCAAAGCGUUCACUGGGAGAGGAGAUAAGCAAGUCAUCUGCCAAAAAUAUUGUGGCUUGCAAAUUAUGGGCGCACAUAAGAAAGGUCACUGCAUUACCCAGUCGUCUUAGCCCACUGCACGGUGACAUCUCAGGUAUGAAAGGGCUGGAGCAAAGUCUGAGUUGGAUCCUCCUGAUAACACCAAGAAGAGUGUCUCCCCUUUUCCCAAGAACUAGGGAGUAUACUUAACCAGACAAGGAUAAAGUUCCGGAUGUGGAGGGUAACAAAAAUGGACCCAGCCACUGAUAGGAGCUGCUCAUUUCAUCUAAAGUAAUCUGUUGUUUUCUGUGCUCUGAAGGUGGUGACCUCAGUGUCCACAAUGGGACGUCCGUGAGUGUUUGUUAGGUUUGCGACCGAGUGCUCCAAGCCGGUGGAUAGUGUUUCUUCUUCUGGUAGGCCAGGGAAACAUUGAGAUUACUUCAGCAAAAAAUAACUUUUCGGCCAAUCUGUAUCAUCACUCAGAGAUGCAGCCGGUCAAGUUAACAAAGAAAACAGAUAUUUAGUCGUGAAGAAGCUUGGUUAAACUUUUGCUUAUCUUUUUAUACCUUGGUAUGGUCAUAUGGAAAUAGGUUAUUGCUUCACACUACUUGGCACCUGCUCUGCAAUUGUUUUUGUACUCAUUUGCCUGCUCUAUGAGAUCGUAAGCUUCAUGAGGACAGUUUUUUUUUCA